rnacentral:rRNA from 1 species
UACGUAGGGAGCAAGCGUUGUCCGGAAUCAUUGGGCGUAAAGAGCUCGUAGGCGGUCUGUUGCGUCCGCUGUGAAAACUCGGGGCUUAACCCCGAGCCUGCAGUGGAUACGGGCAGACUAGAGGUAGGUAGGGGAGAAUGGAAUUCCCGGUGUAGCGGUGAAAUGCGCAGAUAUCAGGAGGAACACCGGUGGCGAAGGCGGAUCUCUGGGCCGAUACUGACGCUGAGGAGCGAAAGCGUGGGGAGCGAGCAGG